rnacentral:rRNA from 1 species
UAGUGGCAGACGGGUGAGUAAUGCAUAGGAAUCUACCUAGUAGUAUGGGAUAGCCACUAGAAAUGGUGGGUAAUACUGUAUAAUCCCUGCGGGGGAAAGAUUUAUCGCUAUUAGAUGAGCCUAUGUCAGAUUAGCUAGUUGGUGGGGUAAUGGCCUACCAAGGCGGUGAUCUGUAGCUGGUCUGAGAGGAUGAUCAGCCACACUGGAACUGAGACACGGUCCAGACUCCUACGGGAGGCAGCAGUGGGGAAUAUUGGACAAUGGGCGCAAGCCUGAUCCAGCUAUGCCGCGUGAGUGAGGAAGGCCUUAGGGUUGUAAAACUCUUUCAGUAGGGAAGAUAAUG